GCACCAUGCUAGGCUGUGGUGCAGCUGCUUCACCACUGCCUCUGUGCUGCCCAGUGCAGCAGCAGUGGCUAUGUGGAACAGCCGCUGAGCAGCACAGAGGCAGCAGUGAAGCAGCUGCACCACAGCCUAGCAC
rnacentral:pre_miRNA from 1 species